GUGCUGACAAACCUGAGCCUGGGCAAUGCCACGCAGUAGGUGAUUGCGAAGGCUACUGGCAAAACCAUCACUGCUCCCUUAACCACAGACAGUGUCUGGCUGGGUUUUGCCAAUGUGUUCACGGGCAUGGCUAAUGCAUCCCUCCUCGGGAAGACACUCCAAGACAGUCUUAAUGUUUUCAUCUGAAUACAGAAUAAAAUGUCGGGAAGUA